rnacentral:tRNA from 1 species
AUUUAUUUAAUAUAAUUUAGUAUACCUGGCUUCCAACCAGGAAGUCUAUUUCUAGAAUAAAUA